AGGAGCCUCUGACCUCAUGAAGAUGGAGCAGCCUCCUCCCCUUCUCUUCUGUUUCCCCCCAAGUGAUGGGGACUAAUGGCCUUAUAGCCACUGAGAGUUUCUGGGGCCCUGCAGACUCACAGGGCUGGGCCAGUUUUAUGAAGCCUCUUCCCACGAGCCCCAGGAGAACCGCAGCAGCCUCAGACCCACCACAGGCCCCUGUGGUUGUAAACAGACAGGAAACUUGUCCCCUCUAACAGGCUGAUGGUUUUCCAGGACUGCAUGUGCCCCAGCGGCCCUGCUAGACCCUCCAAGAGGAGGCCACUCCGCCAGGGGCAGCAAGUUCAAGUCGAUGCUGUGGUCUGGUUGAGGAAGAGAAAGAUCUUCCUCCUCCAUCCUGCCCCCCGGAGCGCAGAGACUUCCAGAAGAACAGCCUGUUCUCCAGCAUCUGGAGCUGGUUUCUUGAGGGAGGUUCAGGGGCAAGCCAGAUCCCAGAGAGGGGUGCUCUGGAACGGCCGUGGGGCCAGGACUUACAGGAGACGCAUGAUGUGGGGAGGAAAAGACAAAAAGCGGGAUGUCCUUCGUUUCUCCCACUCUUGGCACGGCAGCCAGGCCAGGCCACAUACAGACAGACUCUCCUGGGGAGUCCUGGGAGCUGCAGAGAACAAAGGUCCAAAUUCCCUGGCAGGCCAGGGAGCAGCAUCCCCGGGCAAGGGCGAGCAGAGGGCAGGGGAUGGAUGUUGGGGCCUCUCCUCUCACAGCUCAGGCAAUGUGCUGUCCUGGGCAGGGGAUCUGGCUUUGCUCCCCAAAGCUCUAGGCAUCCCCAGUGCCCUAAGGAAGGGAGUGGCUGAGGAUGAAGGCAGGGCCUUCAAGAUCUCACACUUUCCUGGUCCUGGAGGGAAAAGUUCAAAGCAGAACAAGAGUGGGAGAGAAACACUCAGCUAAGAUGGAGUUGAAGAAGGACAACCACCACACCAUGGAGCCUAGAGUGCCUACAACUGAAAGUGGGAGGAUUGCAUCCAGCAUCCAUGUGGAAUCUGAGCCUCCUCUUGACAUAGAGGUGCAAUGGACACAACCAAUCCAAUGUCCACAUAGAAGAGGUGGCAUUGGAUUGGGAAAAGUGGACAUGGUGGCUGAUGGGUAUGGGGAAAGGCAGGAAGAGAUGAGAGGUGGAGGCGUCUUUGGGACAUGGAGCUGCCCUGGAUGGUGCUUCAGAGGCAAUCACCGGACAUUGUAUAUCCUCACAGGGCCCACUGGAUGGAAUGGGGGAG
rnacentral:lncRNA from 1 species